CAUCAGGCUUUCUCAAAGGCGACAUCCUGGACCACACCAGCACUUUUGUUCUGGCUGAUGCCAUCGUUCAAAGGUUCAGAGACCUGCUUGAGAUUUGCUAUGUGGGAUAUCAUUUUCUCUUGGCCACGUUACUGCCGGUAGCAGCUUGCCCGUUGGGAGGAGGGUCAACUGAGGGCCCUGCCGCGCUUCGGCAGGCGCCAGGGACCAGAGGUCACCCACUGCCUGCUGGAGAUACAGAGCAACUUCCACCGCUGCCUACAGAUUCUGAACUUUGUUGGCACAGGCAUCCUGGACGUCGAAACACCACCUGGCACAAUUAUUACAACAGGUGCUGUAGAAGCUUCACUUAACGCCUGAGACGGGACAGAGAGAGCACAGCUACUGCUACAGUAACAGGCACACAGAAAAGGCCAACAGCAUUCAUCAGGAAGAAAUAGCACCGAACAUCCAGUUUGUCAUGCUGGACUGCUCAGCACUCAUUGCGCCCUCGUUUCCAGUACUGCAAUGAGUGGCAGAACAAGUUCACUCAGCUGCCAACACCUGCCUCACAGAAACCACAAGACAAUGC